rnacentral:rRNA from 1 species
AACGAACGCUGACGGCAUGCCUAACACAUGCAAGUCGAACGAAGUCUUCGGACUUAGUGGCGCACGGGUGCGUAACGCGUGGGAAUCUGCCCUUGGGUACGGAAUAACUCAGAGAAAUUUGUGCUAAUACCGUAUAAUGUCUUCGGACCAAAGAUUUAUCGCCCAAGGAUGAGCCCGCGUAAGAUUAGCUAGUUGGUGGGGUAAAAGCCUACCAAGGCGACGAUCUUUAGCUGGUCUGAGAGGAUGAUCAGCCACACUGGGACUGAGACACGGCCCAGACUCCUACGGGAGGCAGCAGUGGGGAAUAUUGGACAAUGGGCGAAAGCCUGAUCCAGCAAUGACGCGUGAGUGAUGAAGGCCCUAGGGUUGUAAAGCUCUUUUACCAGGGAUGAUAAUGACAGUACCUGGAGAAUAAGCUCCGGCUAACUCCGUG